rnacentral:rRNA from 1 species
UACCCGCAGCACAAGUGGUGGUCAUUACUAUUGGGCCUAAAGCGUCCGUAGCUGGCCUGUUAGAUGCCUGGGUAAAUCGAUGCGCUCAACGUAUCGAACUCCGGGUAGACCGGCAGGCUUGGGACCGGGAGAGGCGUGAGCUACUCGGGGGGUAGGGGUAAAAUCCUGUAAUCCUCCGGGGAGGACCAGUGGCGAAGGCGUCACGCUAGAACGGCUCCGACAGUGAGGGACGAAGCCCUGGGGCGCAAACCGG